AUACGGAGGAUGCGAGCGUUAUCCGGAUUUAUUGGGUUUAAAGGGUGCGUAGGCUGUGCGUUAAGUCAGGGGUGAAAUGCCGUCGCUCAACGACGGAGCUGCCCUUGAUACUGGCGUGCUGGAGUACGGAUGCCGUUGGAGGAAUGAGUGGUGUAGCGGUGAAAUGCUUAGAUAUCACUCAGAACACCGAUUGCGAAGGCAUCUGACGAAUCCGUCACUGACGCUGAGGCACGAAAGCGUGGGGAUAGAACAGGAUUAGAUACCCGGGUAUUCCACGCCGUAAACGAUGAUGACUAACCGUCGGCGAUAGACAGCCGGUGGCCAAGCGAAAGCGAUAAGUCAUCCACCUGGGGAGUACGUCGACAACGAUGAAACUUAAAGGAAUUGACGGGG
rnacentral:rRNA from 1 species